rnacentral:rRNA from 1 species
AUUGAACGCUGGCGGAAUGCUUUACACAUGCAAGUCGAACGGCAGCACGGGGGCAACCCUGGUGGCGAGUGGCGAACGGGUGAGUAAUACAUCGGAACGUGCCCAGUCGUGGGGGGAUAACUACGCGAAAGCGUAGCUAAUACCGCAUACGAUCUACGGAUGAAAGCGGGGGAUCGCAAGACCUCGCGCGAUUGGAGCGGCCGAUGGCAGAUUAGGUAGUUGGUGGGGUAAAGGCNCACCAAGCCGACGAUCUGUAGCUGGUCUGAGAGGACGACCAGCCACACUGGGACUGAGACACGGCCCAGACUCCUACGGGAGGCAGCAGUGGGGAAUUUUGGACAAUGGGCGCAAGCCUGAUCCAGCCAUUCCGCGUGCAGGAUGAAGGCCC